rnacentral:rRNA from 1 species
GAUGAACGCUGGCGGCGUGCCUAAUACAUGCAAGUCGAGCGAACAGACGAGGAGCUUGCUCCUCUGACGUUAGCGGCGGACGGGUGAGUAACACGUGGAUAACCUACCUAUAAGACUGGGAUAACUUCGGGACACCGGCGCUAAUCCCGGAUAAUAUCUUGAACCGCAUGGUUCAAUAGUGAAAGACGGUUUUGCUGUCACUUAUAGAUGGAUCCGAGCCGCAUGAGCUAGUUGGUAAGGUAACGGCUUACCAAGGCAACGAUGCGUAGCCGACCUGAGAGGGUGAUCGGCCACACUGGAACUGAGACACGGUCCAGACUCCUACGGGAGGCAGCAGUAGGGAAUCUUCCGCAAUGGGGGAAAGCCUGACGGAGCAACGCCGCGUGAGUGAUGAAGGUCUUCGGAUCGGAAAACUCUGUUAUUAGGGAAGAACAAAUGUGUAAGUAACGAUGCACGUCUUGACGGUACCUAAUCAGAAAGCCACGGCUAACUACGUG